rnacentral:tRNA from 1 species
GCAAUGGUGGUUCAAUAGUUGAAUUCUCGCCUACCAUGCGGGAGACCCAGGUUCAAUUCCCAGCCAAUACA